CUGGAAUAUAUAGCAGCACAACUGGGCAGAGGCCUCUGAGAUUGGGAAAACCCGCUGGAUGAUGAGCCUUUUGUUUUAGAUUGAGGUAAUUCGAUCUAAAGGAUGCACCGUGAGGAGGCGGCAUGCCGUGUCAUAUUCAUCUGUUUGCUGAAUGGAGAGUAGUGAGGGAUGUUUCCGAAGCUGUUGUCAGAAGAAAGGGACAAGUCAUGAAGUUUCCUACAAGUUACAACAAGGCAAAAAGUGACUACUAUUCAGAAGCAGUUUUUCCAGUACUGCAGAUUUCCAGGAGUUGCUGUUGAUGGGACACAUGUUUACAUCAGGAGCCCUGGUGGGGCAAGAGCCAGGUACUACUUCAGGUUGUCUGUGAUUAUGCUGGGAAAAUAACUAGUAUCGUUGCAAGGUGGCCUGGACUGGUAGCAGCCACGAUGCCAGGAUCUUUUCUGAGUGUGCACUGAAUUGACAGCUUCAUGCUAGGGCAUAUGAAUAACAGUUGAUUCUUGGAGAUAGACUAUAGGGUAUCCAUGCCUUCUCUGUCUCAUCAGAAGCCAUUUCUUCAUUCAGAGGCCAUCUGUACUAGUUCAG